rnacentral:rRNA from 1 species
UCCUACGGGAGGCAGCAGUGGGGAAUAUUGCACAAUGGGCGCAAGCCUGAUGCAGCGACGCCGCGUGAGGGAUGGAGGCCUUCGGGUUGUAAACCUCUUUUAUCGGGGAGCAAGCGAGAGUGAGUUUACCCGUUGAAUAAGCACCGGCUAACUACGUGCCAGCAGCCGCGGUAAUACGUAGGGUGCAAGCGUUAUCCGGAAUUAUUGGGCGUAAAGGGCUCGUAGGCGGUUCGUCGCGUCCGGUGUGAAAGUCCAUCGCUUAACGGUGGAUCCGCGCCGGGUACGGGCGGGCUUGAGUGCGGUAGGGGAGACUGGAAUUCCCGGUGUAACGGUGGAAUGUGUAGAUAUCGGGAAGAACACCAAUGGCGAAGGCAGGUCUCUGGGCCGUUACUGACGCUGAGGAGCGAAAGCGUGGGGAGCGAACAGGAUUAGAUACCCUGGUAGUCCACGCCGUAAACGGUGGAUGCUGGAUGUGGGGCCCGUUCCACGGGUUCCGUGUCGGAGCUAACGCGUUAAGCAUCCCGCCUGGGGAGUACGGCCGCAAGGCUAAAACUCAAAGAAAUUGACGGGGGCCCGCACAAGCGGCGGAGCAUGCGGAUUAAUUCGAUGCAACGCGAAGAACCUUACCUGGGCUUGACAUGUUCCCGACGGUCGUAGAGAUACGGCUUCCCUUCGGGGCGGGUUCACAGGUGGUGCAUGGUCGUCGUCAGCUCGUGUCGUGAGAUGUUGGGUUAAGUCCCGCAACGAGCGCAACCCUCGCCCCGUGUUGCCAGCGGAUUAUGCCGGGAACUCACGGGGGACCGCCGGGGUUAACUCGGAGGAAGGUGGGGAUGACGUCAGAUCAUCAUGCCCCUUACGUCCAGGGCUUCACGCAUGCUACAAUGGCCGGUACAACGGGAUGCGACGCGGCGACGCGGAGCGGAUCCCUGAAAACCGGUCUCAGUUCGGAUCGCAGUCUGCAACUCGACUGCGUGAAGGCGGAGUCGCUAGUAAUCGCGAAUCAGCAACGUCGCGGUGAAUGCGUUCCCGGGCCUUGUACACACCGCCCGUCAAGUCAUGAAAGUGGGCAGCACCCGAAGCCGGUGGCCUAACCCCUUGUGGGAUGGAGCCGUCUAAGGUGAGGCUCGUGAUUGGGACUAAGUCGUAACAAGGUAGCCGUACCGGAAGGUGCGGCUG